ACGGGUGAGUAACGCGUGGGAAUCUACCCUUUUCUACGGAAUAACGCAGGGAAACUUGUGCUAAUACCGUAUACGCCCUUCGGGGGAAAGAUUUAUCGGGAAAGGAUGAGCCCGCGUUGGAUUAGCUAGUUGGUGGGGUAAAGGCCUACCAAGGCGACGAUCCAUAGCUGGUCUGAGAGGAUGAUCAGCCACAUUGGGACUGAGACACGGCCCAAACUCCUACGGGAGGCAGCAGUGGGGAAUAUUGGACAAUGGGCGCAAGCCUGAUCCAGCCAUGCCGCGUGAGUGAUGAAGGCCCUAGGGUUGUAAAGCUCUUUCACCGGUGAAGAUAAUGACGGUAACCGGAGAAGAAGCCCCGGCUAACUUCGUGCCAGCAGCCGCGGUAAUACGAAGGGGGCUAGCGUUGUUCGGAAUUACUGGGCGUAAAGCGCACGUAGGCGGACAUUUAAGUCAGGGGUGAAAUCCCGGGGCUCAACCCCGGAACUGCCUUUGAUACUGGGUGUCUAGAGUAUGGAAGAGGUGAGUGGAAUUCCGAGUGUAGAGGUGAAAUUCGUAGA
rnacentral:rRNA from 4 species